GUGCUAGCUUUGGGAGAACAUAUAUUAAAAUGGAAACAAUACAGAGAAGAUUAGCAUGGCACCUGUGCAAUGAUGACACACAAAUUCAUGAAGUGUUCAAUGUUUUU
ensembl:snRNA U6 U6 spliceosomal RNA